rnacentral:lncRNA from 1 species
AGACAAAUAAAAUAAAAAACAAAAAAAAAUAAACCUACCAGUCUGGAGUGAUCUGCCUCUUUCUUCUCUCACUGCCCUCUGGGUCGUGGGGAGGGGAGACAGGGAUUAUUUCAGAUCAUACCCAGGUAGCUCGAGGAGGCUCUUAAACAAUAGACUAACAGUACAGGGAAUCGUGCUGGUUCUUUGCAUGCCUUCCUAGUGUCUUUUUUUUUUUUUGAUAUUAAAAAAUCCAGAGUUUCCAUUGUGACUCAGAAGGUUAAGGACCCGACAUUGUCUCUGUGAGGAUAUGGGUUCAGUCCCUGGCCUUGCUCAGUGGGUUAAGGAUCUGGUGUUGCCAUGGCUGUGACACAGGCUUCUGCUGCAGCUCUAGCUCAACCCCUAGCCUGGGAACUUCCAUAUGCCACAGAUGCAGCCAUUAAAAAAAAAAAAAAAAUUCCCUCCCAAAGUUAUGAUUUUAAGCACCGUAGUUGCCACUUGAUGAAUGCUUGCAUAAUAUUAUUAGAAUUUUUUUAAAGAUGGAUGUUCUUUUAGGUUAAAAAUAAUAGCAUGAACAUAAUCACCUGUGGAAGUUCCUGUGUGUAUAAGCAGCAGCUUGAAUCAUAAGAUAGUGUAAAAGUUUAGAAGUAUUUCUUUCCAUCUCUGAGGGAAGCCUGGGCCUAAGCAGACCUCAUGCCUUGUCCCUCAGUAUCUGAGAGGGAUUGGUUCCAGGAGCUUCCAUAUACCCAAGAUUCUCAGAUGCUAAGUUCCUGUGGCUGACCCUGCAUAUCCAAGGAUUUCGUAUCUGUGGAUUCAACAAACCACGGAUGGAAAUUUUGCCUCAUGGAUGCCAAACCUGGUUAUAUAGUAGGCCGACUAUGUGCUUAUUUUAUAUAUUUAUUUUAAAAAAUCCACCUCUCUGUGGACCAGGGCAGGUCAGACCCAUGCUGUUCAAAGGUCGCCUGCCGCUCGUUGACCGGCCAGCUUUGCCAUUUUUCCCAUCAUUCACUGAAGCUUAAAAUUAUUUGAGGUGCCCAUUAUUUUAAACUUUCUCAUGAAAGGAUUAACAAUAUCCAUCUAUAACAGUGCAUGGACCUGUAUUUUAAUUUUCAAAUAGCGCACCUGUACUUUCGUUUCAGACGGCCACGCUCUGAGCCAGUUACAUUUUCCGAGAGAACAUUUUUCCAAGUGCGUAGGGUCGGGUACAGGAAUGCUUGACAGCGUGUACUCCCAGGGGUUUAUGGCCAUUAUCUGAGCCAUCUUUGCAAAUAUCAAAGUGCUAAUAAUGCUUAUAUUCGAGCAGUAGCUGGGGAUGUUAUUGUCUUCAUUUACCUGCCAAAUGUGCAAUAAGGAAGCUCAUCUUUUCGUUGGCUAUUCAGUAUGUCCCUUAAUGCUUAAUUAUUGCUAAAUCUGUGGCCACUAUUUUAUUUCAUACGGUUGUUUUAAUUAAAUGAUUGCAUGACUGUUAUGAGGUGCCCUGUUGCAUGUCUAAUAUUUGAUGAAUGUCUGGCCUCAUUUGAAUGAUUUCUGCAUUGGGUUGAAUGGAUCCUUCAGGUCGCCUCAGCCCAAGAGGUGACACCUGGUAACAUAUUCUGUCACGGCAGUUACAGUAAAGGAUGGAAGCAUGGACUUGAUAAGAGCUACGUGAAGGAAGUGAAUCAUGUCUGCUCUGCGCUGUGUGGGGGGGACAUGGUGGUGCUCAAACUUACAACAACCUUAUGAGACAACGUUUGUUUGUUUUUUAAAAAAAGAAAACCGAUGGCUUCACACUUUUAAUUUCAAUUAAAAAGAACGUUGAGAGUGUAAAGAUCCAGACGAUGGAACUUACGAAGCACGUGUACUGACACUUAGUAUAGUUCAAAAUAAUGAAUGGCAACCAAAGAAACAACUCAGAAGCUAUGACCAGAUUGCUUAAUGUUUAGAAAUGUUAGAUCAUGGUGGAGAUUUAAUCUAAGACCAGUCCGAUGUCUUGUGAUUAGAAACCACUUUAUUCAUCACAGCUCCCACUUACAACAAGAUUCAUUUAAAGUUUCCUAUUGUUUAUCGAAAACAAGAAUUCACUGAAGCCAAGGUUACAGUCAGGGAUAGGGUUGACUGUGGGUGUCGGCAGCCUGUAUUUUGCUUCGUCCCAGCAGUCUGGCAUUUGAAAGGACAAUUAAGCAGUGUCUGAAGCUUUGCUCUGUCAUAUAUGAGGUCUGAGUUAAUUGUCUACCCUGCUUUCCUCAAAACUGGGGAUGGAAGGGCCCCUCUACCUCCUCCACACGCCUCCCAUCCAACUCCCCACAUUCUAGAAAUAUCCUAGGGGGGACUCUGGAUCCUUAUAAGGAAAAUCUGGUUUUUUUAAAUUUCAUUUACCUUAAAAACAGUGGAAGCAUAUUCAGAAUCACCUGAUAACCACGUUGUAACUGAGUACAGGUGAGCCAUUUGAGGGCUCCUGUCUGUUUGAUUAUCAUUAUAAUUACCAUUAUUAUAAAAAAUAUGAUAUAAAAUAUUUCCUCCUCCUUCCAGCUCCUGGCAGCCACCAUUCUACUUCCUAUCUCUGAGCAAUUGACUGUUUUAGAUUCUUCCAUCUCCUCAAGCUUCAUACAGGUGGUUGACUUGCCUUCAAGUUCACGGAUUCUUCUGCUCGAUUAACUCUGCUGUUGAUUCUUUUUAGUGCAUUUUUCAAUUCAGUUACUGUACUUCUAAGCUCCAGAAUGUCUGUGUAGUUCUUUUUUUUAUAGUGUCUGUCUUCUUAUUUUUUAAUUCAUCUUUCUUUCUCUCUCUUUCCUUUCUUUUCUUUUCUUUCUUUCUUUCUUUCUUUCUUUUCUUUCUUUCUUUCUUUCUUUCUUUCUUUCUUUCUUUCUUUCUUUCUUUCUUUCUUUCUUUCUUUCUUUCUUUCCUUUUUAGAGCUGCACCUGUGGAAUAUGGAAGUUCCCAGGUUAGGGGUCGAUUUGGAGCUGUUGGCUACAUCUGCAACCUAUGCCACAGCUUUCGGCAAUUCCAGAUCUUUAACCCUCUGAGUGAGGCCAGGGGUCAAACUGGUGUCCUCUUGGAUACUCGUUGGGUUCAUAUCCUGCUGAGCCACAAUGGGAACUCCUCUUUUUCUUUACUUUUUUCUUUUUUCUUUUGGCUGCGCCCAAGGCAUGUAGAAGUUCCCAGGCCAGGGAUUGAACUCAUGCCACAGCAGUGACCCAAGCUGCUGUAGUGACAAUGUCAGAUCCUUAACCCACUUCACCACAAGCGAUAUCCAGAUUUCCAUUUCUUUAGUGUUGUUUCUGGAGAUUUAGUUUGUUCCUUUGAUUAGGCCAUAAUUCCCGUUUCCCUGUUUCUUCAUAUGACUUGGGUUUUUUUUCAUUUGUUUGUUUGUCAUGAUUUUUGCAUUUGACAAAAGCAGGCACUUCUCACAGUCAUUACACAGAUGCUCUCAUACAGGAGAAGACCCUUACCAGUCAGUUUGGGUAGAGACUCUGGGGGCCUUCCAAACCUUUUAUCAGCAGGGGUCUUCUCUGGGCUUGAGUAUACCAUUUCCCGGCUGGAAGUUUGAAAAACAAACAGGGAGUUCCCACUGUGGCUCAGCGGCUUAAAACUAGACAUAGCAUUCUUGAGGAUGCAGGUUUGAUCCCUGGCCUCGCUCCGUGAGUUAAGGAUCCAGCAUUAUCUCAGCCUGCAGCGAGGGUAGCAGAUGCGGCUUGGGUCCGGUGUUGCUGUGGCUGUCACGUAGGCUUGGAUGCAGCUCCGAUUCAAUUGACCUCUAGCUGAGAACUUCCAUAUGUCUCAAGUGUGGCCCUAACAAAAAAAAAUUUAGUGGUUUCUUUUUUAGGAGGUUGUGUUAUCUUACCCCCUCUGGUGUUUCUCUGUGGUACUGCAGGUUUAGGUCUCUCCUCCACAGACCCCAGAUACCCAGUGUGCCGGUUUUAUCAGUAUCCUGAGUUAGGCAAGGCAGAAACCAGUCCUUAGGGCAGGCUGCCCACCCCCCAACCCACCCCCCAAAAAGGCUGAAGUCUUGAGCUAAGCGCUUUCUCCUGAUCAUGACAGCUAUAGCCUUCUGUCUAUAGUGCUGCAAUUUCCUGAUGUUGACAUAAGCCUUUGAGUUCUUUUUUUUUUUUUUUUUUUUUUUUUUUUUCUCAGCAGCCUCAGGCAUCCAAAGUAUGCUGGUUCCCCAUCAGCUAUCCAACCAGGCAAGACAGAAACCAGUCCCUCAGGCAGACUGAAGAGCUGGAGCUUUGGGUAAACAAUCUGCUCUUCUCCCCUCCCACGGGGAGGUGGGCUUUUUGCUCCUGGUGGUGAGCAGUGCCAGCUUAGGGGAGGCACCAAUGUAGCUGAAAUGAAAUGGCUUUUCCUGCCCAUUUCUAUGGGAUUGGCCUUGGCCUUGACCUUGUAUAGGGCACUGAAACUUCCUAACUGGUUUCUGGAAUUCUCAGAAAGACUUCUUGGAUGGCAUAUUGUUUGUUGUUAAAUUGAUGUGUCUGUUGGGAAAUGAGGGCUGGUUUCCCGUUCUGCCAUUUUGCUAAAUGUAACCUCCUCAUAUCUGUUUUUGUAUUUAAGAUCAAAUUGGGGAGUUCCCGUCGUGGUGCAGUGGUUAAUGACUAGGAACCAUAAGGUUGCGGGUUUGAUCCCUGACCUCGUUCAGUGGGUUAAGGAUCUGGCGUUGACAUGAGCUGUGGUGUAGGUUGCAGACACAGCUCAGAUCUGAUGUUGAUGUGGCUGUGCCGUAGGCUGUCGGCUACAGCUCCAGUUGGACCCUAGCCUGGGAACUUCCAAUGCCCCGGG